rnacentral:tRNA from 1 species
GGGAUGUGGCUCAGUGGGAGAGCAUUCGGUUCGCAUCCGAAAGGUCGUGGGUUCAAAUCCCAUCAUCUCC